ensembl:snRNA U6 U6 spliceosomal RNA
GUGUUCACUUCAGCAGCACAUAUACUAAAACUGGAACGAUACAAAGAAGAUUAGCAUGGCCCCUGAGCAGGGAUGACACGAAAAUUCGUGAAGCAUUCCAUAUUUUU